rnacentral:lncRNA from 1 species
UGAGGAUGCGGGUUCAAUCUCUGGCCUUGCCCUUUGGGUUGAGGAUCGGGUCCUACACCGCAGCUCAUGGCAACACUGGAUCCUUAAUCCUGAGGAAGGUCAGAGAUCGAACCUGCAGCCUCAUGAAUACUAGUCAGUCAGGUUCUUAAUCCACUGAACCACAAUGGGAACACCCAAUUUUUGUCUUUCAUGAAUUUUUCUUUGUCCCUUUACCAUGGUAUUGAUUCUACUUUUUUUUUUUUUUCACCACACCAACAGAAAUGGGAGUCCCCAGGGCCACAGUGGAAUUUGAGCCACAGCUCUGACCUACGUGCAGCUGUGGCAAAAACCAGAUCCUUAACAUGCUGCACCAUAGCAGGAACUCCAUUUAUCCUAUCCUAUUUUUUUAAUCGAAGUAUAGUUGAUUUACAAUGUUGUGUUAGUUUCUGCUGUACAGCCAAGUGAUUCAGUUACACGUAUUAUACUCUUUUUAAAAAACAAAACUUUUUCAUUAUGAUUGACCAUAGGACAUUGAAUAUAGUUUUCUCUGUGCUAUACAGUGGGAUCUUGUUUAUCCAAGAGAUCACUUUUUAAAAUCCGUGUUUCUCAACCUCUUCACUACCUUUAAAACUUUUUUCUUCCAAAAAGAAUGUUUAGACUUUUUUUUCCCUAAUUUCCUCCCUAUGAGAGGUGAAUACCACAGACACACUGUGUAAUAUGUUUAUGUAUGGUGUGUAUUUCUGCUUUCUAUGUAAUAAGAGUAAGGUUUUAUUUUGCCCCUCAAGAACCCAUUUCCAUUUUACUGGGGGUGAUAUUGCCCUGGUUGAAAAUGCAUAUCCUUGAUCUUCAGUUAGCUUAAAUAAAUCUGUUUUUAAAAUUAGUGUCAGACCACUUAAGAAUGGGAUCCUGGAAUUGAAGGUGGUUGAGGACUGUUGUUGGGACUGAGUCGCCUGUCUUCAUAUGAAGUACAGCUGGAUGGAGUUCCCAUUGUGACACAGCAGAAACGAAUCUGACUAGGAACCAUGAGGUUGUGGGUUCGAUCCCUGGCCCCGCUCAGUGGGUUAAGGAACUGGCGUUGCCAUGAGCUGUGGUGUAGGUUGCAGAUGUAGGUCCCACAUUGCUGUGAGCUGUGGUGUAGGCCGGCAGCUGUAGCCCUGAUUCAACCCCUAGCCUGGGAACCUCCAUAUG